AUUGAACGCUGGCGGCAGGCCUAACACAUGCAAGUCGAACGAGUGGCGGACGGGUGAGUAAUGUCUGGGAAACUGCCCGAUGGAGGGGGAUAACUACUGGAAACGGUAGCUAAUACCGCAUACCAUCAGAUGUGCCCAGAUGGGAUUAGCUGGUAGGUGGGGUAACGGCUCACAUAGGCGACGAUCCCUAGCUGGUCUGAGAGGAUGACCAGCCACACGGGAACUGAGACAGGGUCCAGACUCCUACGGGAGGAAGCAGUGGGGAAUAUUGCACAAUGGGCGCAAGCCUGAUGCAGCCAUGCCGCGUGUGUGAAGAAGGCCUUCGGGUUGUAAAGCACUUUCAGCGGGGAGGCGUUACCCGCAGAAGAAGCACCGGCUAACUCCGUGCCAGCAGCCGCGGUAUAC
rnacentral:rRNA from 1 species